rnacentral:rRNA from 1 species
AUUGAACGCUGGCGGAAUGCUUUACACAUGCAAGUCGAACGGCAGCACGGACUUCGGUCUGGUGGCGAGUGGCGAACGGGUGAGUAAUGUAUCGGAACGUGCCCAGUCGUGGGGGAUAACGUAGUGAAAAUUACGCUAAUACCGCAUACGAUCUAUGGAUGAAAGCGGGGGAUCGCAAGACCUCGCGCGAUUGGAGCGGCCGAUAUCAGAUUAGGUAGUUGGUGGGGUAGAGGCCCACAAAGACAACGAUCGGUAGCUGGUCUGAGAGGACGACCAGGCACACUGGAAAUGCGACACGGUCCAGACUCCUACGGGAGGUAGCAGUGGGGAAUUGUGGACAGUGGGCGAAAGCCGGAUCCAGCCAUUCCGCGUGCAGGAUGAAGGCCCUCGGGUUGUAAACUGCUUUUGUACAGAACGAAAAGGUUUCUACUAGUACUAGGAGCUCAUGACGGUACUGUAAGAAUAAGCACCGGCUAACUACGUGCCAGCCGCCGCAGUAA